rnacentral:rRNA from 1 species
GACGAACGCUGGCGGCGUGCCUAAUACAUGCAAGUCGAGCGAAUCAACAGGAGCUUGCUCCUGUUGAUUAGCGGCGGACGGGUGAGUAACACGUGGGAAACCUGCCUGUAAGACUGGGAUAACACCGGGAAACCGGUGCUAAUACCGGAUAAUCCUUUCCCUCUCAUGAGAGAAAGUUGAAAGUCGGUUUCGGCUGACACUUACAGAUGGGCCCGCGGCGCAUUAGCUAGUUGGUGAGGUAACGGCUCACCAAGGCGACGAUGCGUAGCCGACCUGAGAGGGUGAUCGGCCACACUGGGACUGAGACACGGCCCAGACUCCUACGGGAGGCAGCAGUAGGGAAUCUUCCACAAUGGACGAAAGUCUGAUGGAGCAACGCCGCGUGAGCGAUGAAGGCCUUCGGGUCGUAAAGCUCUGUUGCUAGGGAAGAACAAGUACCGGAGUAACUGCCGGUACCUUGACGGUACCUAACCAGAAAGCCACGGCUAACUACGUGCCAGCCGCCGCCGUAA